rnacentral:tRNA from 1 species
CAUUAGAUAACUUAAAGAAAGUGAUGGUCUCUUAAACCAAUUAAUAGUAAUGUAACGUCUACUUCUAAUGA